GUAGAUAAUGAAAAGGGUUAUUUUACCUGACUUUGUGCCUUUGUGCUCUGCCAGUUAUGGGCUUCUAAUCGAGAUCUAGCUGCCCAGCAGUUGUAAAGCCAACAAGAGAAUAAGUGACCAUUUGAAGGAAUUUAUUCAGGAAUCGAGCUUGAUAUCUAGGUUUUUUCUUGUUCCCUUCAGCCAAUAUUUGCAUGGAUGGAGUUGUUUCUUACUCUUUUAAGAGAUUGAUUUUUCAGGAGCUCAAUCAAGAAUUUUAACUUGAUUUUCACCUUUGAGUCUACUCGUUCUUGCCAUUCUGAUGAAAACUUAAGCUGUAUUUGGUGUGUUCUUCCUAAUUUGUUUCUUUCUGUUCUACUAAGAAAGAUCGAAUUUCUAGUUGGAAAAUUUAUGCACUGCUGCAGAUCACGUCCGAAGAACAUAAGCACCUCAUUAGAUGAUGUAAACCUAAACCGUUGGUUUUCUAACUUGUUCUUUUGUGAGAUCUGGUAGUUGUGCUGAGUUCUUGAAUGAGUUUUCAUCAUUUGAUCAUCCUCCUUCAACCCACAAGUGCACGGUCGCUGCAACAGGUAGAACUGUCAGGUUAGGUCCAGAAGUUAGAAGAUCAAACAAAAUGGAAUUUGGCUAAGCUGCUAAAGCACUUGGAUGGAAUUGGGAAUCAGGCAGAAUCAGGACCAGCCAUGCACACAGCAAUAUGAAGUCUCAGCUCUUAAUUCAAAUUCCACUGUCAUUGAUGGUGUUGGGAUGACUCAAGAACAGCAUUGUAGGAAUGCAACGGACAGAAGGUUGAAGAAUCAGGGAAUAACAAGUUCCAAGCAGCUCCAGCGACCAAGUAUAUCUAGUCUGACGAACUUCCCUCAUUUUGCAAGACCUGCCGCACUUGCCAAGGUUAGGCUCCAAAAUACCGCUGGAUGGAAAAGCAUUGAGAAGGCCUCCACUCCUCCAAUCAGCAAUCCAGUCAGCUUGACAUCGGUUGAAAAUAGUAGUGGUACAAAGGAUGCUAAUAAGGUAUCAGUCCAGUCAAGCUCAGAUCCACAGAAGUUGAAGUUGGGUUCAGCCCUGAAAGAUCUUCGUGGAGGAGGCUCAGUUGAGUUCUCUAAUAAUAUUUGUGCAGAAGAUGCUUUGGGGAAGAAUACUGUGAAUUUCACUAACAUGCCUGAUAACCUUCCAACCUCAAAUUUUGCAGCAAGGGUAGUUUUGUGUAGGAAUGACAAAAGAAAAGCUCCUGAAGCAGUAUCUUCUUCUGUAUGUUCAGUGAACUUAACAGGAGCUGCAUUAAAUGAACCAAAAUAUGGUGAAAAGAGAAACAAUGAUGGGGAAGAGCUUGAUUAUCUCAUCCACAGCAAAGAUCUCCAAGAGGAAUCAGUAGACAUGAGGAAACCAUCAACAGGAUGCAGUGCACAAACAAAGAGAAGCCCAGCUGCAGAAGUUCAUAAUUUAUCAGAAAGACGGAGGAGGAACAGGAUUAAUGAGAAAAUGCAUGCACUACAAGAGCUUAUACCUAACUGUAACAAGGUGGACAAAGCUUCCAUGCUUGAAGAGGCCAUUGAGUAUCUUAAAGCGCUUCAGAUGCAAGUGCAGAUCAUGUCAAUGGGAAGCAGGCUGUACAUGCCACCAAUGAUGUUAACUCCUGCAAUGCAACACAUUACACAUGCAUGCAACAAUGCGGCCUAAUUUCCCAUCAGCAGACCUAGGAAUGUGCAGAAGCACGGAAUUAACUCUAGGUUGUCCAAUGCUAGCAAUUCCACCAAUGCAUGCACCACAAUUUCCAUGUGCUCCCAGUUCAGGGCAAUCAGGCGUGAACUUGAUACUUGGACAUGUAAAUCCUUCCACAUUAGGAAUCCAAGAGCAGGGGAUUCCAGUUCUGAUGCCAAGGCCACCUCAAUUUAGUACUUUGACAAGGCUUUCUAUGAAUACACACUCUGUACCUGAGGUACAUGCACAAACUGUUAUUGCAGAUUCUGGAGAUCAGCAUGAGCAUCAGAAGUAGAAGAUGGUCAACUUACUGCCACUUUUAAUAAGACGCCUUUUGACUUUGACCCGAAUAAAUAAUCUCACCCCUUAUUUAAAAGUAUUAUUUUGACUACAUAGCUUUGAAUGGGCCCUAAUUGGGCCUAAAUUAACCAGAUUUGCGGAUCAACGAGCACAAACAGACCGAACCCGGUUCAGAGUCCGAAUUAGUAGUGAGAUAACUCGAUCGUCGGGGAUUCGUCGACGUAUAUUUUCGCCACCGCUUUCUCUCUCUGGCUGUCUCCUCCGAUCUCUCAGCCACUUCUGCAACGACGCAGCGACCAGAAGAACCCUCCUUGUUCAUGUUCUCUGCCAGGUAAUUUGUGCGUUGAUUAUUGGUUGAGCAUUAUAGAUCAUCGAUUGCUGCUUUGAAAGAAAACUGCAAUUCUGGGAGGAGCGAAAAGAGCUCUGGCUGCUGGAUGAGUCUAAAUGUCAGGAUGAACAUUUAUAUUAUUCUGAAGGUGCCAACUAGCUCAGGAAAACAGCAGUCACGCUCAAAUCAAGAGAGGCUGAGGUCGCUUAUGCUCCUUCAAAUUGCUAGUGAGGAAUGGAGUUUCAUGGCACAUCCAAUACGCCGAGGAAGAAGAAGCAACUAGAGAACCGAAAAGUAGACUUAAAAAAGGCAAGAUUUCAUUAACACCUCUCUCUCUCUCUCGUCCUUUUUGUUUAUCAAAGGAGGUUUAACGUUCAUCUUUAACUUGCUGGAUCAUAAGAUUAUCAAUUAGAUUCUUAUUCAAAUCGUAAUUAUAGUGGUAGUUGAGAUUACAUUUGUCCAUCAAAACAUGAUAAAAUGCAACUUGCUAUGUCAAUGGAUUAACCUUAUGUCUCUUCAUAUAAUUAACUAAAUCCCUUCACAAAGUAAUCACAAUUGACAGGCUAUCAACUUUUGGCCAUCAAAUGCUAAUCUAAAUUCAAAAUUAAAUAAAUAAAUGAAUAUUGUUAGCUAGCCUUCUGAACUUGAGCGAGCUAUGAAGCUAUGUCACAACUUUUUUUUGAAUUUCUUAGAGUUGGUCCAUAUGUAACUAAGUGAAGGUGUCAUUAAUUAAUGGCGAGGCCAAAGUGAUUUGAUUGACCAAUCAAUUCAAGGUAAGCCCCACCAUUAUGCAUUAAGCAAGCAAUUAAUAAGCAAAUCAUUUGUUAAUUGGAUAUAAUUGGGGCUUUUUUUCUUGUAUGAGAAGCAAAAUGAAGAAGAAUAAGACUUUGCUUUAUGUUGUAGACCACUUCUCUAGUUUGUGGGUCUCUCUUCAAAACAAAGUGUGGCUAAAUUUGAGCUCGGAGUCUCGGUCGUCAUGCGAACCAUAAAUUAGACCAUGUUAAUGUUUACUCACUUGAGUCAGGACAUGUGAUUUGGACCCGAUUUGGCUUGCUCUAACUCGACCCCAUCACCAUCAUGGUUAUCCACUUCAUCGGACCCUACAAUCGUACCAUCCAAACCCUACCACCCUCAAUAUUGUCAUAGGAGUCAUGUAGAUGGUCGUCAUUACGAAUUAAUUAAUAAUUAUCGGUCUAUCUUUCGAAUUUAAUAUUUGAUAAAGGACAAGUAAAUUCACUAGGUGCAUCUAAAUGAAAGUUGAUCAUCACCUCUCUAUUUUAAUAUUUAAUUGGUAAAAAUAAUUAAACAUUCUUAAUGAAUGUUAUCUUCCAAAACAUAAUUAUAAUGUUCAAAAUAAUUAGUAAUGAUGUAAUUUGGUAAUUAAGUCAGGGGCUCCAUUAUCAGGCUGGAAACAGAGAAGCCAUGAAGCUUUAUUAAUUUGGGGGCCCCUAAAAUCUAAAUCUCACAUGUAAAAAAUGGUUUAAUUCCCAGUUUAAUCAUUGUCAUUAGGUCACAUCCCCGAUUAACCGGUUCAAUUCUCAUCCAAACCAAAUCUAUCUCGAUUUUUUUUCUCUAGAUUUUCAAAUUUAUUAUAGAUUCUUCGAUACGUGUUUGAUCCUUGUAGAUUCGGUCACAUCGUCGUGAAUGUGUCUUGAUUUUAUUUAAAUAUAUUUAUGUAAAAUUAGAAUAAAUUACUUUUGAUAAAUUGAUCUUCCCACAUCCAAAAAAAUAGUAAUUGAAUUUAUUUAUUUAUUUUUAGAAAUUAAAAAAAACAUGAAAAUCACAUUAAAAAGCGCAGCUCCUCUCUUCCUCCUCCCACCACCGUCUCUUCUACUCCUCGGUGAACUUAAGUUCUCCUCACCACCUUCCCUCCCCCUCCGGGCAAAUGGGCGGCCCCUCCUGGUGCCACAAGGAGAAGCUUCGCAAGGGAUUGUGGUCACCGGAGGAGGAUGCGAAGCUGAUCGACUACAUCACCAGACACGGCCAUGGAUGCUGGAGCUCUGUUCCUAAGCUCGCAG